rnacentral:lncRNA from 10 species
AUCCAAUCAGCUGGAGGCCUGCAUAGAACAAAAACACAGGUCUUCCUGAGCAAGAGGGGCUUCUCCAGCAUAUGGCCUUUGGACUUCAUCUAUACCAUCCGCACUUCUGGGUCUCCAGCCUGCUGGCCCACACUACAGAUUUUGGACUUCCCAGCUUCCAUAAUCAUGUGCUUCCCAUUUCUACAGCCGGUUUACUGCGGUCUCCUCAUGAACAUGUUGUCAUCACGCCCAGUGUAACUGCUCCCUCCCUGCAGGAGUUUACUCUGCUACAUGGAUAAGCUAACAAAGGCUCAUCUGGAACUACAGGGUUACAUCUCUAGUGUCAUUGUAUGACACAGUGACUCAGAGAUGAUUUCCUCUUCAGAAAACAGAAGAAUUUUCUGACACAUUUAUCCAGAUUGGAUGAUAUGGAGAUGAACACCAGGACUAUUUUAGAAACUGCAUGUUGAAGACCACUGAGAUAUAAAACUUAGAAAAAAAAAGGUUCUGAAUCAAUGCCUUGUGAAGACAGUUGCACAGGGUACCACCAGGCUGAAAUCCAGGUGUUCACCAGGACUUUUCUUCACCUGGAGGCCCAGCUGGAGAAGAAUCUGCUUCCAAGCUCCAUCAGACUGUUAGAAAAUUAACUUCCUGUGGCUAUAGGAUUCAUGGCACGUUGCUUCUUCAAAGCCAGCAAUGGAAAGAGUCUUCUGCUCCAAGAAUGACAUGUAGUCACUCAGAAAGGGAUCAUAUGACUAGGAGGAUGAUAAGACCUUAUAGAGUUGUGAGAAUUAAAUAAGAUUUUCAAGUAAAGGAUUUACUACAAUGCCUGGCAUACAG